rnacentral:tRNA from 1 species
GCUUCCUUAGCUCAGUGGUAGAGCAUUGUACUUAUGCGGCUUACGUAAGCAUCUUACAUAAUAAAUAUGCAAGGGCCACCAGUUCGAACCUGGUAGGAAGCA